rnacentral:rRNA from 1 species
GAUGAACGCUAGCGGCAGGCUUAAUACAUGCAAGUCGUGGGGCAGCAGGUUUGUAGCAAUACAGAUGCUGGCGACCGGCAAACGGGUGCGGAACACGUACAGAACCUUCCUUUGAGCGGGGAAUAGCCCAGAGAAAUUUGGAUUAAUACCCCAUAGUAUAAUGAAGUGGCAUCACUUUAUUAUUAAAGAUUUAUCACUCGAUGAUGGCUGUGCGGCUGAUUAGGUAGUUGGCGGGGUAAAGGCCCACCAAGCCUGCGAUCAGUAACUGGUGUGAGAGCACGACCAGUCACACGGGCACUGAGACACGGGCCCGACUCCUACGGGAGGCAGCAGUAAGGAAUAUUGGUCAAUGGAGGCAACUCUGAACCAGCCAUGCCGCGUGGAGGAUGAAGGUCCUCUGGAUUGUAAACUUCUUUAUAUGGGACGAAAAAGGCUUUCUAAGUCGUCUGACGGUACCAUAUGAAUAAGCACCGGCUAACUCCGUGCCAGCAGCCG